ACUCAUACCUUGCAAGGGAAGUACCAUGUCAUAAAAGUGGUUUUCCUAGCUAGGGAGAGGCUCAUCCAUUGUACUUUGGGUGUGCUGCUGAUCCCUAUGAUUUCCCCAAAUGUGGGAAACUCAACUACAUAAUUUGUGUUAAUGAGGGAUUGUUCUUGUGAUUUCCCUGG
rnacentral:snRNA from 1 species